GACGAACGCUGGCGGCGUGCUUAACACAUGCAAGUCGAACGGAAAGGCCUUCUUUCCCUUGUGUGUUGCGGGUACUCGAGUGGCGAACGGGCGAGUAACACGUGCGUUAUCUGCCCCCAACUUGUGUAUAAGCCUGGGAAACUGGGUCUAAUUCCCUAUAGUACUGCAGGGUGGUUCCUGUGGUUGAAAACGAUUUUCUAGUGGUUGUGGAUGAGCUCGCGGCCUAUCAGCUUGUUGGUGGGGUAGUGGUCUACCAAGGAGGCGACGGGUAGCCUGCCUGAGAGGUUGGACGGCCACAGUGUGACUGCGAUACGGACAAGACUCCUACGGGCGGCAGCAGUGGGGAAUAUUGCACAAGGGGAGGAAGCCUGAUGCAGCGAAGCCGGGUGGGGGAUGACGGCCUUCGGGUUGUAAACUCUUUUGGAGCGCGAGGAAGUCACCUGGUUGGAAGGGUGGUGAAGGUAGUGGUAGAAGAAGCCACGGCUAACUACGUG
rnacentral:rRNA from 1 species